rnacentral:rRNA from 1 species
AUACAGAGGUCCCAAGCGUUGUUCGGAUUCACUGGGCGUAAAGGGUGCGUAGGUGGUAGGGUAAGUUUGGUGUGAAAUCUCUGGGCCUAACCCAGAAACUGCAUUAAAUACUAUCCUGCUAGAGGUUUGGAAGGGGGACUGGAAUUCUCGGUGUAGCAGUGAAAUGCGUAGAUAUCGAGAGGAACACCAGUGGCGAAGGCGAGUCCCUGGACAACACCUGACACUGAGGCACGAAAGCUAGGGGAGCAAACAGGAUUAGAUACCCUGGUAGUCCUAGCCCUAAACGGUGCACAUUUGCUGUGAGCGGAAUCGACCCCGCUCGUGGCGGAGCUAACGCGUUAAAUGUGCCGCCUGGGAAGUACGGUCGCAAGAUUAAA